GAUGAACGCUGGCGGCGUGCCUAAUACAUGCAAGUCGAGCGAACAGACGAGGAGCUUGCUCCUUUGACGUUAGCGGCGGACGGGUGAGUAACACGUGGGUAACCUACCUAUAAGACUGGGAUAACUUCGGGAAACCGGAGCUAAUACCGGAUAAUAUUUCGAACCGCAUGGUUCGAUAGUGAAAGAUGGCUCUGCUAUCACUUAUAGAUGGACCUGCGCCGUAUUAGCUAGUUGGUAAGGUAACGGCUUACCAAGGCAACGAUACGUAGCCGACCUGAGAGGGUGAUCGGCCACACUGGAACUGAGACACGGUCCAGACUCCUACGGGAGGCAGCAGUAGGGGAUCUUCCGCAAUGGGCGAAAGCCUGACGGAGCAACGCCGCGUGAGUGAUGAAGGUCUUCGGAUCGUAAAACUCUGUUAUUAGGGAAGAACAAACGUGUAAGUAACUGUGCACGUCUUGACGGUACCUAAUCAGAAAGCCACGGCUAACUACGUG
rnacentral:rRNA from 1 species